rnacentral:rRNA from 1 species
GACAGAGGUGCCGAGCGUUAGGCGGAAUCACUGGGCUUAAAGCGUGUGUAGGCGGGUCGUUAAGUGUCUUGUGAAAUCCCACCGCUCACCGGUGGAACGGCUGGGCAUACUGGCGACCUUGAGAGGCCUAGGGGCAGACGGAACAAGCGGUGGAGCGGUGAAAUACGUAGAUAUCGCUUGGAACGCCGACGGCGAAAGCAGUCUGCUGGGGGCCUUCUGACGCUGAGACACGAAAGCCAGGGGAGCAAACGGG